GCUGGCAGCAACACGGUCAUUGUAUACAGCAGGGCAGCAGCAGUCCGAAUCGCCAAGGGUUACAUCAUAUCAUCCAGCAAAUUAAAAAAGGUUUUAAACCGGCGGCAGACAUCGAAGAAGCAGAAACUGAGUGCAUAAUUACAGCAUUCCAUAUCAAGUUCAACUAAAGAAAGAAGUGUAAAAUAUUAACACCCGUUUUAGGCUUAAGUACCUUUACAGAUGGGAAAAACAGAUGAUGUAUAUUGCAGUAGAACCUUCAGACUAUCAAAUCAAUAAACCAAGAGAUCAAAUUGCAUGCGGUGUGACAGCUCGAAUGAACAUUCCAGCGCACUAUGUGCGGCAACUGAAGACAGAGAGCUGACUGUCAAACGCUUUAAUCAACCCGCAUUCUAUUGCUGUCUGCAAUAUUCAUUAUAACCAUCAGCAAGAAGGACAAAAUACCCGCUGGGAAUUAUUUCUUGCUCUCACCUCUGCAGAAUCUUCCAUUUCUCAGUCAAGUGGGCAAGGUGCUUUGGGGCAUUUCUGGCAGUGGUGCGGUUACAUCUGGAGUUGGGCGCUGCCCGCCACAUAUCCCGCCCGUAACAUCACACGGGCAGCCUCGCACACUACGGCCUGUCAACUGACUGUAUGGACAACGCCAUCAUCACGACAGCACUUCUCUGGACGCUGAAGGGCAGAGGAAACACAGGAGAUCAAAGACAACUUGGCACUGUAGCGUAGAGGCAGAAGUGAAGAUCUGGAACCACACCUGAGGUACAAUAGUGAAGAUGGCCAAGGACAGAUAGAGAAGGAGGGCCUUCAUUGCUGAUCUAAAUGUCAACAAAGAAACGGGCUACUGAUCACUUUCUGUCUCCAAGGGAGUUCAGUGAGGUUACGGCUGGAGUGUGCGGCCUGGAAGCCAAGAAGCCUGGAGAUGGGGUGUGAGCCCACAUUCAUUCCAUUUCUUGUCGAUCUCACCGACUAAAGCAUCGAGCAAGAUUGAAAUUAACGAGGAUGAGAAUGCGAAAAGUGACCAGGUGUUCAGCACUGUCUGCCUGUGCUUGACCAGUCCCUCUCUCGCUCCCACUCUCUGCUGCCAGAGGAAGGUGCCUGUGCCAGUGCAAUUUUGAUUGGAGCGGACUGGCUCUGCAGUCAACAAAUGACACAGUUCUAAAUUGAACAGAAUUGAACAUUCCUAGACUGUUUCAAUGACUCUGUGGUGUGAUGGUUUCUUUGAAUGGGUUUCAUGGUGCUUCUCUGUCCUGUGGCUGGCUGAGCAGAAGAUGAAUCUCAGGUUGGCAUACUGCAUACAUUCCCAGAUAAUAAAUAUACUUUGAAUAUUUGAAACACCAGUGGACACAGAUAUAAUGUCAUUGAUGGAAGGGUUAAAGCUGAAAUGUGGAAUUUUCUUCCACCUUGAGCGCAGGAGGUGCACGAGAAAGGGCUCUAGAAUUAGAAAUGUUCCUGAUAUCACUGUGUGGUUUGGAGCCGCCACCAAGCAGGAUAGAACCAGACUACAGCGCACAAUGAGGACUGCCGAGCGCAUCAUUGGAGCCUCCCUGCCCUCUAUUGUGGACCUGUACUCUUCCAGGUUGAAGAAGAGGGCGGGGAACAUCAUAAAGGACUCCUCCCAUCCUGCGCAUGGACUGUUUGAACUGCUUCCGUCUGGUAGGCGCUUCAGAUCCCUCCAGACUAAGACUAAUAGGCACUGGAGAAGUUUUUUCCCUACUGCGGUCACUUUGCUGAACAGUUAACUGCUGGUUAACUGUUGGCUAACUAUUACUUGGAUUGCACUACUUGUAUGUAUAAUCUAUAUUUUCAUUUAUAUUUAUCAUUAUUAUUGUUGUGAGCAGAGAGACAACAUCUGCCGGAAGUAAAUUCUUUGUAUGUGCACAGGUACUUGGCGAUUAAAGUCUGAUUCUGAUUCUGCUUCUGAUUUGUAAAGUACCUUGAUCUUCAGAACUUUGGAUUCAGUGUUAGAAAACGCAAGUAGACUGGGUAGUUCUUAAUCCAAUGGUACCUGUAUGUUGAACGAAUAUCCU